CUUUAAAGACUUUGGAUUACAAAUACAAUUACUACUUUUAACUUUGGAUUACAAUUCGUAUCCGGAUCUAUCCAAGAAUAUCUUACUCUGGAACUUGGUGUUCUUUUCAAUUCUUUCCCAGACAAAAGCUUUGCUCAUUUUAAUCAACCACUUUUACAGGCAAAGAUCACACUACGGAUAUUUUACUGUUACAACAAUGAUCAAAGAUGCUGGGAGCACAAAAACCUAAAGACAGUUGGAGAACUUUAGUUUACUAAUUUAAGGAAGAAAUGCGCUACAAUGCCCACAGUUUAAUGGAGAGGGUGUUACGGGCAAAUGCAAAUAUUACAAGUUUUAGAAUGAAAUGUUGUAUUUCUUAAACUGUGUACUUUGUCUUUAAGAGAUAUUGCAAAC